rnacentral:rRNA from 1 species
GACGAACGCUGGCGGCGUGCUUAACACAUGCAAGUCGAACGGAAAGGCCCUGCUUUUGUGGGGUGCUCGAGUGGCGAACGGGUGAGUUACACGUGAGUAACCUGCCCUUGACUUUGGGAUAACUUCAGGAAACUGGGGCUAAUACCGGAUAGGAGCCCCUGCUGCAUGUUGGGGGUUGGAAAGUUUCGGCGGUUGGGGAUGGACUCGCGGCUUAUCAGCUUGUUGGUGGGGUAGUGGCUUACCAAGGCUUUGACGGGUAGCCGGCCUGAGAGGGUGACCGGGCACAUGGGGACUGAGAGACGGCCCAGACGCCUACGGGAGGCAGUAGUGGGGAAUAUUGCACAAUGGGCGGAAGCCUGAGGCAGAAACGCCGCGUGCGGGAUGACGGCCUUCGGGUUGUAAACCGCUUUCGCCUGUGACGAAGCGUGAGUGACGGUAAUGGGUAAAGAAGCACCGGCUAACUACGUG